AAAUGAUUCUUAUCUCUUUUUGGAGAGAUGGCCGAGAGGUUUAAAGCGUCGGAUUGCUAAUCCGUUG
rnacentral:tRNA from 3 species